rnacentral:rRNA from 1 species
CCUACGGGUGGCAGCAGUAGGGAAUCUUCCACAAUGGGCGAAAGCCUGAUGGAGCAACGCCGCGGGGGUGAAGAAGGUCUUCGGAUCGUAAAACCCUGUUGUUAGAGAAGAAAGUGCGUGAGAGUAACUGUUCACGUUUCGACGGUAUCUAACCAGAAAGCCACGGCUAACUACGUGCCAGCAGCCGCGGUAAUACGUAGGUGGCAAGUGUUAUCCGGAUUUAUUGGGCGUAAAGGGAACGCAGGCGGGCUUUUAAGUCUGAUGUGAAAGCCUUCGGCUUAACCGGAGUAGUGCAUUGGAAACUGGGAGACGUGAGUGCAGAAGAGGAGAGUGGAACUACAUGUGUAGCGGUGAAAUGCGUAGAUAGAUGGAAGAACACCAGUGGCGAAAGCGGCUCUCUGGUCUGUAACUGACGCUGAGGUUCGAAAGCGUGGGUAGCAAACAGGAUUAGAUACCCCUGUAGUC